rnacentral:lncRNA from 1 species
GUCUUUUUGCCUUUUCUAGGGCCGCUCCCAGGCUAGGGGCUGAAUCGGAGCUGUAGCCACUGGCCUACACCACAGCCACAGCAACUCAGGAUCCGAGCCACGUCUGCAACCUACAUCACAGCUCACAGCAACGCCGGAUUCUCAACCCACUGAGCAAGGCCAGGGAUCGAACCCGCAACCUCAUGGUUCCUAGUCGGAUUCAUUAACCACUGCGCCACAACGAGAACUCCGAAGCAUUUUUUACGUCGCCACGUUUCCAGGAUCGAUGGAGACUAAAACUCAGGCUGCUUGAGGACCACAAAAAAGUAGCACACAACCCAAGCCAGGCUUAUUAGAAAGCAGCCUGACUAGCUAGCAGACUGGUCAAGAGUUCCCUCUGCCAGCAGUCAGGACCCUGGGAGUCAGUUAGCAUGGUAUAAACCUAGCUACUUCCAGUCCUUCCCCAUCUAACUCUUUAGUUAACUGCAGAAACAAGUGUGCAACUUUAUAAAUAUUCACAAAGCUAAAUUCAUCACUCAUGGGGUUCACAUUUUAUCUGCUUUUUCUGUUACUAAUUAUCAAUUUGCCUAUUUCUCAUAUAAUGUUAUAAUUACCUAUCGUAAAUAUUUAAUUCUUCUCAUUUUUGCUCAACUGAGCAAUAUAAAAUUGAUCCACAUCUAAGUGCAUUGAUUUUUCUUCUGUCAUGUCCACUCAGUUGUUAAACUCAUCCGAGGACUCACUCCAGGAUUCUGUUUUAAUAGAGAACACGUAUUUGCCAUCGGAUAACAUAUUCUGAGGCCAGCCUGCUCUACUGUACUGUUCUAAUCUCCAGUUACAGUUUCGAGCCCCGCAGUCUAGAGUCCUCUGUGAAACCACUGCCGCAUGUUCUGUGCAGAUGUGACACAGGUCAGACCACAACAUGACUUUCGUGUUCGCUCCGGAAGGACACUUGGCAGAGGAGUCUCACUGUCCCCUCGAAAGCCCCUCCUGUUGGAAGGUGACACACUUGCCAUCAUCACUGCCUUCCUCUGGGUCUAAAUGAGACCCCAGUGUGUGACCAGCAGCCCGUUCCCACGGUAAGGCUUUCGCAAAGGGGCUUAGUCCCUUGUGUUACAGCAGCCCGGAUGCGCGAAAGCAAGGAUUACCCCACAGGUACUGAAAACUAGGAUUACUAGCAUCUUCCCCAGGAGACCGUGUCUUUGAUGUCAGCAAAUACAUCCUGGCCGUCCGAGCGCCGCCACUGCACAGCCUCUUCCACAGCCCUGGGUGGUGUCCACUGACUACCGGCCGGACAGAAGUCUCCCUGCUCUGAGCAUCUUAAAAACACGGUCAGUCAGUGCCCUCGCGUCCGCUCGUCCUUAUUCAGCACAGGUUAUGUAUUUAUUAGUCUGUACCAUAGAAGGUGCUAGGGCGGCUACCAAUAAAGCUGGAAGGGGGCCUUGCACACACCACUCAUCCUCAGGACAGCCAGGGUCCUUAUCUGCCAAAUGAGGAGGCGAACUGUGUGAUCUUUAUAGCUGACCCUGCUCUGGUGACUCGGAGACACAGCAGUUCACCUUCUCAAAGAAAGACCCCAGCUGUACAGAAGCAGAGUCUGAGCAGUCCCUUCUGUUCCUACCGGGUCUACUUAGAAAACAGAAUAGACUUUCUAGUCAUAGGACCCGUGCUCUAAUUUGGGCCAUUCGUGUUCCCCCCCCAGGAAUGUGGAAUUUACUCGGAAAAACAGUAGGUUCUGAUUUCUCGGCAGCACAAUCCUGGCGACAGUGAAGACCCACGAGGUGGCUGGGGGCCUCUACACUAAGGAUUGGCUUUUUCAAUUCCCCCAAUCCCACCAAAAAGCCUUCCCCGUACUAUUGCUCGGUCUGCUUUUUUGCUUGUAUUAGCUGUGGAGACUUCUGGAUGCAACGCCAACAACAGCAGACGUUGCUUCCGUGAUCGUCUUUCCUCUGAUGACCGUUUCUAUCUGUGAAUCUGGCUGGGUCACGGUGGCCUCUACCGCCUGUGCACACACCGAAUGAAGGAAAUCCUAGGUGUGCAGGAGGUACCACAGCCUCCUUAGAGCAGCCUCAUCACGCCCACCCCAACUUUCCAAAGAAUGCUUGGCAAUAUGGGAGGCUAUUGAAUUUUCCAUCAAAUAUGGGAUGAAGAUUUUAGUAAUUUUAUAUAAACUUCAAAGGACAGAAUGUCCUGAAAGGCUGAAGUUUUGGUGAUCUUCCAGGGCAGUGGUCUCCUGAUUAUAUAAUAAACUGGACACAUUCCUGAAAUCAACUGCAUUUUUACACAAUGCUUUUUGGAGUGAUAGCUCUUCUAACCCCAGUAACUUAUAAUGAUCAUUUUCUUCCACCCUAAUGUCUUUGGUUGUAUAUUUUUUUCUAGCAGAGUUCAUCUUAGAAAUCAUUUUUUUUUUAAUUUUGCUCUAUUUUUUAGUGUAACUAUACCUCCGGAAACAAGAAUGCAUGUUUCCACGUUUCUAAAAAGGACACUUCGGGAAACUCUCAGGCAUUAUUGGUAAGUAGACGUAAUUUUAACUAGUCAGCUAGAGAACAAGCAUAAAGACUUAGAGAAAACAAGUUGUGUUAACACCUUGUUUGGAAAACUUCAAAUUCUAACACGCAUAUGACGGAGGAAGGGUCAAAUAAAACACGUAAGCAGUAACAGUCAAACAAACAAACAGAAAUCUUUAGCCCAAAGGGACAAGUGCCACCAAUAGAAGCUGUUUUUUCUAGGCUUCAUUACCUCAUGUGUCUUAUAAAGAAUCCAUGUCUCAUUCAAAUCUAAUUCUACCUCUUCUCUAGAAGAAGUGAAUAAUUUUCACAAAGCAAUGCUGGCAAUCAGGAGACGCUGAAGUUCUUUCAAAGAGAGUAUUGGGAGGAUGGAAGGGACUCGGACGUACAGGUCAACCUGGAGGCAGCGUUUUUUCCCAGUGGGCGGAAUAAACCUAAUUAAAUGCGUGGAGACAGCAGGAGUCUGAGGGAGCUCGAGGGCGAUGCAGACAGGGUGGACUGUCUCAUGCGGCAGGAGCGUGCAUCACAAAAGACAUCUGGGGACUGGACCCCUGACUAGAGGCUGACCUAGCCUCCCUGACGCGCACGGCAAGCCUCUGAAACAGCACGGGUCGGAGGUCAGUGAGCUGCAGCCGAACCUGGGCAGUGGUUCCUCGCCUGGAACAGUUCCGGCUUGCUAUGCUAAGUCUCUCCAAUGCUAAAAGAACAGAAAGGAACUCAGAGAGAUCUGCUGUGACUACCAGGGGACACUUCCACACCCUCGCUAGGCCCACACUGCAAUGUCCUUUGUAGGAGGUGUUUCCAGCGGAUCCUUCUCCUUCUCCCUCGCAGUCGAGUCAACAAAUUUUAUUCGACUGUACAAAUAAAGAAAUGUCAUAAAGUCCUUACAAUCUACCACCAAGGCCAUUAAGAGUUUUCUUCUCCGACCCUGGAGAAAAUCCUUCUCAGCCGCAGGGGUUCUGUCCGGGUUGCACAGUGAGUGGGAAUCACUGCCGAGGCGUUUACUAACAACCAAAAUUCGUGGAGUUCCGAACUUCAGUCUGCUUUAGAUUUGCUGCAUUACACUGGGAAACGCCUCUGCGCCUCUCUCUUCCGGCUCCUUCGCCACUAAAACGGCGUUCAGAACAGCCCUCACCUGUCUGCCUUCCAGGGAUGCUGUGAAGACAAACUCACAUCCUUCGUCAAGCCCGCAGCUAACAGAAGUCUCAGUAGUUACUGUAUUAAUAACCGUGACGGCAGCGAGGAGACGUGAUCCUGCUGUGGGGAUUAUAAUUUAUUGGCCUGGGAACUCGGCUCGCAGCCCGCGAUGACCGACGACAGACCUCUACGAGGAGCUGAAGUGUUCACCGGGCACCUUCUUUGGAGACGCCUGUGCCUUUGGCUUCUCCGCUGAGGUUAGAAACAUGUGUCCGCAUGUGGGAAGGUGGGGAGACAGUUUCUUCUCUCUCUCGGUUUCACACUUUAUAACAAACGAUGGUAGGUCCUGCUUGCAUCCACACACACUACAGUUUUAAGGACUGAAUAGACGGGUCACUUUAUUUUUUUAUUCUUUGUCUUUGAAAUGUUGACAGAAAAGGGAAUGGGCGGCACACAGGACUGACCCGCCCCGUCCGCAAAGAGGUGGCCACCUACCUGGCAGGAUGUGCCGAGGGCUAGAGCACAGCAGCUUUCCUGGCCGUGCCCCCUGGUGUGAGAUGUUCAGGAUUCAGUCUUCAGGGACGGAGGCACCGCGGCCUGUGAGAGGCUGACGCGGAGCUGGACCAGCGGCUGGGAGGCCGGGAUGAGCCGGGCGGCUCCACCCACGUGGGUCUGGGUGAGCCCGGCCAGCCAACCCUCUGACAAAGGACCCGGCCCCCCAGCAGCUUCGCCCAUCUCAAGUUCACUUCCUGCCCACGUGGCUCUUCAGGCAGGUGUCUCCGGGGCAGCCUCCCUGAUGCUGUCCCAGGAUCCCGGACCCCUCGACCCUCCACUGCGUGCUGCUGCUCUCCUAUGACCCCCAAGUCCUUCGAUCAGCCUUCAAGUAGGGAGAGAGUGAGGACGCUGAGAAAGACGGGGUACCUGCAAGGAGGGUGGGGAAGUAUUUCUUGACCUGCUCCCAAAAGGUAGAAGGAAUCGCAUCCGUCUCCUGCCCGGCCCUAGGACAUACUGAUGGUGGGAAACAGCACAGGUCUUGCUGCCAGACAGGCCCCACACUCACCUGGCUGGUCUCCGAGCCACAUGACCUUGGACCAAUUGUUUAACGUGCUACACAACAGCCAUCCGCUCCCGAGCAAGCUCCUCUCCCUCGGCCUUCUGUCUCUCCCACUUCCAUUUUUUAAAACUGGCCCAGCCUGCCUCUGCCUCUCGGGCUUCCUCGCAGGGUGGUGCUAAGGUCACAGCCACCACUGCGUCUGCGACCAAAUCCCAAGGACCCUGGUUCCCAUAGUUGUUAUGCAGCCUGGAAAUCUCUGGGACGGGGGUAACCAAAGUGGGUUGUAGACAUCCGAGUUUCUCCCACUUUGUCAGCUGGGUAGACAUGAGGUCAAGGAGCGUCGAACUUUCAGGCAUCGAAUAUGAGGGUGUUUACGGUACAUCCUGACCCGACACCCGUGUGAAAGACAGAACAAGGAUAAAACUGGGGGCUGCAAAAUUCAACUGUCGUUGCAACAUUCCUCAGCUACAUAAUUGCCUUUCUGAAUGUUUUGAAGAAAAUGUAUCCGUGCGAGGCAAUGAGCCUUUUUAGAACCAUAAACUGCAUGAGAUUUUAGUGUCUUCUGGGAUUUGAGCCUUGUGUGCUCCUCAGCUAGUCUAUCCAGACUAACUGAACCUGCCCAAUUGAGCUACAAAUCUAUGAGGAUGAGUUCUUCAGGGAUUUUGCAAACAUCCUGCUUGGAGAUAAAUCAAAAAGAUUACAAAGUAGUGCUUCUCACUGUGCUUGGCUGCAAGAGACCAAGAAAUGACAAACAAGACUAGAGGCAACGUGCACAUUCUAGAACGGGGUAAAGAGCUGAUGCAAGUUCAGGAUCUGUUGUGCACAGAUGUUGCUGUCGGCUCCUGUUUAAAGAAAGUUUUCUCACCUUACAUCUGAAGGCUGAUCUUAUGUCUCCGGAAAUAGGACAGAAAUUGAGAUAUUUUCCCUAUCAACUGGCCUUCUUGCUCUACUACGAAAAUAUCCAAAGUGUUCUGGACAAAUAGUAAUUAAAGCUGCAAUUCUUUUGGAAAGGAAGACAAGUCACAGAACCCUGAAGUUAAUGGAAUUUCUCAGCACACCUGAAUCAUCAGUAUUCUGAGAUCUACCCACAGUUCAAAUUCAUGGAAUGAAGCUUUCUGAAUUUCAAAAUGCUUAUGGCCCUACCAGAAAAAAAAAAAAAAAAAAAAAAAAA